UAGGGAGGAGACGCAGAAG
rnacentral:misc_RNA from 1 species